GUGGGUUGCUAUGAGACAUGCACUUCUUUGUUUUUACUUGGGAUGGGUAUCGAACCACAACUCUGCCACGCUGCACCCAAUAUCAUAUAAAAAUUGUGGCAUUUUGUUGCAGGCCCAGAUAAAAACAAAUGCAGCAAUGCAGCUGCGCAGUGGGUCAUAGAUGGAGCUUCAACUUAAAAAAGAUCGUGAAAAAUUGUUCUUGUAUGGUCUUAGGAAAUAUCACGAUAUGUACCGUAUCAUGAUACGAUACAUAUCACAGUAUAUCCUAAGACUAUACAUAAAGUAAAAUAAGAUGCAUAUUGCGAUAUGUACCGUAUUACCUCAUGCCAAUACACACCCAUAGUUUAAACGCUGCAGCAGAAAAGAUGUCCGCCGCUGCUGUGAACUUCUCAGUACAGAAAGAAGCUGUUCGAUGCUGGAUUUAUCAUUACCUAGUUGACAUAGUUAGGUUAUAUUUGUGUAAUUGUAAAAAAUAAUGUCAAUUAUAAAGUUGUAUUGUUUUUAUUUUAAUAUUUUUCUCUUUUUUUUUUAAACAGAGUUUGGAAUAUAGUCACGUUCGUCAGAUCUUUUAGUUGAUUUGGGCACUAGAUGUCCCUGUUGUGGAACACUGAACCAAAAUUUGAAGGUUUUUGGGGGCAAAAUUAGUAAAUACCUGCUCAAUACUAGUUUUCUUUUUUUUUUUAGCUAAAUGCUGUAAUUGCAUAUCUGAAAUGGACCGGUGAACCAUCCGGGGUGUACCCCACCAUCUUCCUUCAGUAGCUGCUUCCAGUUUAGAAAACGGAUGGAUAGAUGGAUUGUUUUUGUAUUACAGGCUGCUGUGGCUCCGCCCUCUUCGGUACUGCCCUCUUCCUCCUGAACGGGCACACAGUUUUUAUUUGUGUUUAUAAAAGCCUUCUUUUGUGUUUAAUGGAUUAAUUUGUUUGAUGUACUAAAGAUUCUUCUCAACAUUUCAGCUUUGCUUUGGAUCAUCUGUGUUUUCGACUUCACAUGAACAAAGAAGGAGAACUAAAAAACAUGUUUUUGAGAAGAUGAGGAGAAAACCAAACCAUUACUUUAGGUUAUAAUCAGACUGGACACAUUUGGUUUUAUUCAAAGUGAGUCACAAUUCAUUUUGCCUGAUAAUCUGGGACACUGAAUACUGAAUACAUCUGAUCAGACCCUGGUCCAGUACCAGAAACCGCUUUUGGAUGGUCUUUUCCAGUCAGACUGAGCUCCCGUCCGCUCUGAGUUUUCUAAAAAAACUAGUGUGCAUUGAAGCUCACUAGAUUGCAAAAACAAGGUAUUGCGUUAGAGCACAUUUUCAUGUGAAAAAAGCAAAGUGACAUUCAUUUUUUAUAAACCAUCUAAGUUGUUAUCAUCAGAAUCCAGUGGAAUCAUAAAUCGUCUUCAUAAUUUUCACAUUUAUUAGAUUUUUACUUUAGGAAAUCAGUGACCAAACUAUAACACUGUAAAAACAGCCCUCUAAAAAUAAGUAAAAAAUUUUUAACAUUUGAAAACAAAUUAUUUAAAAUAAGU